AUGGCCAUGGUAGUGUUGUGUCAGCACCCUGGUGUGAUGGCACGCAGUGAGGACAAGAGCCCCUGUGGGGAGGGCAGCUUCUCUGGGGUGAGCAGGGAGGGCAGGAGCAGGAGGGAAGGGACAGGCAGGGAGGAAAAGAAGGGCAGGAGCAGGCAGGGAGGAAGGCCAGGAACAGGCAGCAGAACCAGGCCGGAGCCUGUGCCUUUAAGCACUACUCCAGUGCUGCUGGCAGCCAGGGCUGUUUACGCCAAACUCCCAUUUAUCUCCCGUCCUGCCCACGCAGCUGCCAGCGGGGCAGCGCCGGGGGCACCCGCAGCACCCUGCCCUGCUCUGCACUCGCGCAGGCCUGUGCGUGCCCCACGCCCUGCUGCAGGCAUUGGCACGCACCAGUGCGGCGGCUGUGCCACCCUCCCCGCCCGCUGCCGGCAAUGGGGAAACCUCUCUGGGUGUCUGGGCAGCACCAAAACCUGUGGCCUGGGGUCAGCAGGCAGGCAGGGAAGUGGUUUCUGCACCAAAUUCCCACACCAGUGCCCGCCACCCUGUUCCCACUGGCAGUGGGUGCCUGGGAAGGUGGUGAUGGAAUGGUGCUGCUGCUGUCUGCAGAGCGGGGACAGGGCUGCGUGUGCCUCGACGCUGCUGCUACUGCUGCCCACGAGCUCCCACAUUCCUCUGCAGCCAGCCCCAGCAUGGCUGGCAGCACGGGAAUGGCCCCUGCUCAGAGACCUGCAACCGGCUUGCACACAGCCCACACGCCCGGGCUCUCCCCACCUUCCAGGGCUCACACGCACGCCCCCGGCUCGGCUGGCUGCUGGGAGCUGCCAGACAGCAGCCGGCAGUGCCUCCUCUCAGCCAUGCACACGCACGGUGUGUGAGCACACAUGCACGCACACCUGCAGAGCGCGGCUGCGGGCCCUGCACAGUCACACAGAUGCUCCAGCCCCAGCUGCUCAGCGCCGGCUGCUCGGAGAUUGCGGGUCUCACCGGAGCAGGGAUACCCAGCCGCAUGGCCGCAGCUGGAGCACACGGCUCCGCUUUGCUGCGUCCUGA
rnacentral:lncRNA from 13 species